AUUGAACGCUGGCGGCAGGCCUAACACAUGCAAGUCGAACGAGUGGCGGACGGGUGAGUAAUGUCUGGGAAACUGCCCGAUGGAGGGGAAUAACUCCUGGAAACGGUAGCUAAUACCGCAUACCAUCGGAUGUGCCCAGCUGGGAUUAGCUAGUUGGUGGGGUAACGGCCUACCUAGGCGACGAUCCCUAGCUGGUCUGAGAGGAUGACCAGCCACACUGGAACUGAGACACGGUCCAGAGUCCUACGGGAGGCAGCAGUGGGGAAUAGUGCACAAUGGGGGCAAGCCUGAUGCAGCCAUGCCGCGUGUAUGAAGAAGGCCUUCGGGUUGUAAAGUACUUUUGGCGAGGAGGCGUUACUCGCAGAAGAAGCACCGGCUAACUCCGUGCCAGCAGCCGCGGUAAUAC
rnacentral:rRNA from 1 species